rnacentral:rRNA from 1 species
UACGGGGGGGGCAAGCGUUGUUCGGAAUUACUGGGCGUAAAGGGCUCGUAGGCGGCCAACUAAGUCGGAUGUGAAAUCCCUCGGCUUAACCGGGGAACUGCGUCUGAUACUGGAUGGCUUGAGUUUGGGAGAGGGAUGCGGAAUUCCAGGUGUAGCGGUGAAAUGCGUAGAUAUCAGGAGGAACACCGAUGGCGAAGGCAGGUCUCUGGGCUGACACUGACGCUCAUGCACGAAAGCGUGGGGAGCAAACAGG